rnacentral:rRNA from 1 species
CCUCGUGACUCGAGCGAAGCGGAACCACCCAGUCCCAUUCCGAACCUGGAAGUGAAACGCUUCAGCGCCGAUGGUACUGCACUGGCAGCGGUGCGGGAGAGUAGGUCGUUGCGAGGG